rnacentral:rRNA from 1 species
UACGUAGGGGGCUAGCGUUGUCCGGAUUUAUUGGGCGUAAAGAGCGCGUAGGCGGCCGAGUAAGUCCGACGUGAAAUCUGGAGGCUCAACCUCCAGCGGUCGUUGGAAACUACUCGGCUAGAGUCCGGAAGAGGAGAGUGGAAUUCCUGGUGUAGCGGUGAAAUGCGCAGAUAUCAGGAAGAACACCGAUGGCGAAAGCAGCUCUCUGGGACGGUACUGACGCUGAGGCGCGAAAGCGUGGGGAGCGAACCGG